AUUGAACGCUGGCGGCACGCCUAACACAUGCAAGUCGAACGAGUGGCGGACGGGUGAGUAAUGUCUGGGAAACUGCCUGAUGGAGGGGGAUAACUACUGGAAACGGUAGCUAAUACCGCAUACCAUCGGAUGUGCCCAGAUGGGAUUAGCUAGUCGGUGGGGUAAAGGCUCACCUAGGCGACGAUCCCUAGCUGGUCUGAGAGGAUGACCAGCAACACGGGAACUGAGAAACGGUCCAGACUCCUACGGGAGGCAGCAGUGGGGAAGAGUGCACAAUGGGCGCAAGCCUGAUGAAGACAGGCCGCGGGUAUGAAGAAGGCCGUCGGGUUGUAAAGUACUUUCAGCGGGGAGGCGUUACCCGCAGAAGAAGCACCGGCUAACUCCGUGCCAGCAGCCGCGGUAAUUC
rnacentral:rRNA from 1 species